rnacentral:rRNA from 2 species
GAUUCGUCACACUAUCAUUAACUGAAUCCAUAGGUUAAUGAGGCGAACCGGGGGAACUGAAACAUCUAAGUACCCCGAGGAAAAGAAAUCAACCGAGAUUCCCCCAGUAGCGGCGAGCGAACGGGGAGGAGCCCAGAGCCUGAAUCAGCAUGUGUGUUAGUGGAAGCGUCUGGAAAGGCGCGCGAUACAGGGUGACAGCCCCGUACACAAAAGCGCAUGUGCUGUGAGCUCGAUGAGUAGGGCGGGACACGUGGUAUCCUGUCUGAAUAUGGGGGGACCAUCCUCCAAGGCUAAAUACUCCUGACUGACCGAUAGUGAACCAGUACCGUGAGGGAAAGGCGAAAAGAACCCCGGCGAGGGGAGUGAAAAAGAACCUGAAACCGUGUACGUACAAGCAGUGGGAGCACCCUUCGGGGUGUGACUGCGUACCUUUUGUAUAAUGGGUCAGCGACUUAU